GGGCUGCGGGCCGCCGGCUGUCGGCCCUGUCGCGCCUGGGGCGCGCUGGGUGGGACUCGCCGCUGUUCCCUGGCCGGCCCGGGGCGGCGAUGCGCAGCGCGCAACCGUGGGGGACCAAGGGAAGGCUGCCCCCAAGAUGUGCCAUUGUGACAUGCAGAUUAUUUUGGACUGACAACCAUCAAGACCCAAAAGACUCAGGAGAAUACUUUGACUUCCCUCCACCCCACAACUGCAUAAAAAGAAUUUAAAUAGAGGACCUGCUCCCGGAGGAGAGCUCUCACCUUAGGCAGAUGCAGCAACAGAAGCUUUUAGAAAGAGUCCUGUGAAAUCCCGAUGCCUGGGAAUGUCUGCUCUAGAAGAUGUUAAGAAGCAGUCAACAGCAGAGCCCCUGUUUGAGGGCAAUUAGGCAGGUGUCUUUAGUGGUGAUUUUGAGAUUACAGUAAAAAUUCCUGCUCAUAAAUAUCCUCUCUCCCACAAUGCCCAGCUGACGCUGAGCAGCCUUUGAUAAUAAGAUUGGUGCAUGAAAGGAGUACCCUUUUAUUUGAGCAAAAUGGUUGCAAGCUUUCUCUUUUAAAGAGUUUUGUCCAAAUGGUCACUCUUCGUGGUGCCUGGGCGAAUAAAGACUGGGAUCAAGGCAGCUAGACUUUCUGGGCAGGGGGUGGAGGAGAGGUGAGGAGAGAGAGGGGAGCAGGACCCUACCCAGGAGGGCCAGGGGUGUUUGAUUGGGGAAAUAGGGCUAUUGAGCAAGUGUUAAUAAUGGGCACACCCAGAGCAAUGUUGAACAAGCACAGAGAGAAGAUGCAGGAAUGUGGAGGUCAAAGUUCACCUGUUAAUCUACCUCAAAGAAGAAACCCAAAUCAAACACAAAAAAACAAAAAUCUCAUGAUAUCAUCAGAAACAGGCCAGUUUCCACAUGGAAGCGUCAGAUGAGCUGGUGGAAUUCUUAUAGUUUCUCUGUUUCAGGAAGAAUAGACUCAUGGGUGAUCCCUUUCUCAGUGUGUUCAUAUCAUUGUCUGGAGAUUAAAAUGACUGACAGGAUAAAUAUAGGUAAUUAAAAUCCUUCCCUUACCAUAUUUCACAAUACUCAGCCCUACCCAACAGCAUCUACUGGGUACCUUACAACUACAAAAAGACUAUGACUGUAAAAAAACAUAGAUCACAAAGUGGAAGACACAGUUAAGCAUGUACCAUGACCCUAGAAAGGGCUUGGUGUGUGAUGGAACUCAUUUUUAUUAUCAGCUUGGUGAGUCAUAAA